UCCAGGUUUCUGGUUCCUCGUGUUUUAUUCUCACGGUUUCUGGUUCCUCGUGUUCUAUUCUCCAGGUUUCUGGUUCCUCGUGUUUUAUUCCGCAUUUUUCUGGUUCCUCAUAUUUUAUUCCACAGGUUUCCGGUUCCUCUUGUUUUAUUCCGCAUUUUUCUGGUUCCUCAUAUUUUAUUCCCCAGGUGUCUGGUUCCUCUGGUUUUAUUCCCCAUGUUUCUGGUUCCUCUUGUUUUAUUGUGCUGGUUUCUGGUUCCUCGUGUUCACUCUCUUCUUUAACAAACAUCAUUUUCACAGCAGCAGAUCUCAGUUCAGCUGAUACUCCUCCAGAUAUUCCUGCGUGAUUCAAAACUUAGACGACGAUGAAGAUAAAUAUUACAGGUACGCCUAUUUACUGAACUGAUUAAGAAACUGUACUUUUCUCUUAAAAGAAACGUUUCUAACUGUUUGUAUUAAGGCAGCAUGUCGACAUCACAACAACAGAGAGCGCUGCGAAACUAAUCUUCCUCUGAGGUUUACUGGUGUUUGUCAAACAAACGAAUGUGUGUAGCGCCUCCCGCUGGACUGGAGUGUACGAGACGCAGAACAAAUAAACACCCCAGACAGCACACAUACGUUGUGCCGAUGUCGGCACGAAAUCGCUUAGGGAGCGUUUGAUAGGAAAGAUUUCGUCGCAAGGUCGGCCUCUGAUCGGAAAUGCUCUCCAGGCGAUGCUGGGACGAUGCAUCCCGGCCGCUCUGCGUGGACGCGGUUCACCGGCGUUUUGAUCAUCGUUAUGGAUCAUAAUUAUAAUAAAACAAUACACACCACUCUCAAGAACAGAUGCAAAUUCAUUAAUAUUUUCAUUUAUUUCAUAUUACAUAUACAAAUACAUUGCCAUUUACCAGAUGCUUUGAUCAAAAGUGGAUAAUUCGGGAUUAUUUGUAGUCUUUUGAACAUUUACCAUGAUUUUACUCCAGCUUUUGCAGUAAAACCAUAGUAAAAACAAAAUCAACCAUAGUUUUACUACAAUCACCAUGGUUUAACUAUGACUGUUGCAGUAAAACCAUAGUAA